GGGUGCUUGGUCCAGUGGUAAGACGCUCCGCAUUCAGCUAUCGGGUUGGCGUUGGUGGGUCAAGAUGCAACCGCAUCUGGAGUCGACUUUCGGGACCUACCGUGCGGGCUUGCGAGAAACCCACGUUCGAAUCGUGGAGUGCCCA
rnacentral:tRNA from 1 species